GAGGAAGUGCAAAUGUAAACCAAAAUUAUUUUCCUUUCAUCCUGCAGACAGUAUUUCAUAAUGCGCCGGAACCGACUUGGAAAGGAGGACUGGGUUAACAUCAAGUGGCAGCCGGGCCAGAUGAGCCACAGCAGUUGUGGGAUCUUUGUCAUGCAGAUGGCCAAGAUGACGCUGAUGGAACUUCCAAAGAUUCCGCAGCAUUUACGCAUCAACUCAUCGAAACAAUCGAUUGAAAAGCGAAGAAGAGACGAGGCUGAAGACAUUCUGAAACAAUUAGUUUCAAAGGAUGAGCUCUGUUCCUUCUGUGGAAUUGAGGACCUGCCCAAAACUGCUGUUGAUGCUGUUUGUGUGAGACUUGUUUUAGACAAUCUGAGUUGUGGAGAAUCUGUCGAUAACCUGGAGUGAGUUUCAAGGAAUAACAUUAGUCAUCAAAUAGUGUUCACUUGUACGCAUAACAUGUUUCCUAAAGUUUCCAUUUUUUACAUAUGUUUAAUUGAUUUAUCCCCAUGUAGAUUCAGUGUGUAACUUGCUCAAGGUGGUUUCACAGCAGCACAGAUACAAACAACCCCUUGGUAUUGUGUGUCUGAACACUUAGGAAUGUGUAUGUCUGACUUUGUCGGAUAAACUAGUUGACUUCAAGUUUAUCAA